rnacentral:miRNA from 1 species
CAGAGGAAGCAGCACUUGUACC